rnacentral:rRNA from 1 species
UACAGAGGUCUCAAGCGUUGUUCGGAUUCAUUGGGCGUAAAGGGCGCGUAGGCGGCGGGGUAAGUCGGGUGUGAAAUCUCAGAGCUCAACUCUGAAAUGGCACUUGAUACUGCUCUGCUAGAGGACUGGAGAGGAGAUUGGAAUUCACGGUGUAGCAGUGAAAUGCGUAGAUAUCGUGAGGCAGGCCGGUGGCGAAGGCGGAUCUCUGGACAGUUCCUGACGCUGAGGCGCGAAGGCCUGGGGAGCAAACGGG